CCUACGGGUGGCAGCAGUAGGGAAUCUUCCACAAUGGGCGAAAGCCUGAUGGAGCAACGCCGCGUGGGUGAAGAAGGUCUUCGGAUCGUAAAACCCUGUUGUUAGAGAAGAAAGUGCGUGAGAGUAACUGUUCACGUUUCGACGGUAUCUAACCAGAAAGCCACGGCUAACUACGUGCCAGCAGCCGCGGUAAUGCGUAGGUGGCAAGCGUUAUCCGGAUUGAUUGGGCGUAAAUGGAACGCAGGCGGUAUUUUAAGUCUGAUGUGAAAGCCUUGGGCUUAACCGGAGUAGUGCAUUGGAAACUGGGAGACUUGAGUGCAGAAGAGGAGAGUGGAACGCGAUGUGUAGCGGUGAAAUGCGUAGAUA
rnacentral:rRNA from 1 species